rnacentral:tRNA from 1 species
GGGCUUGUAGCUCAAUGGCAGAGCAGCGCCCUCAUAAGGCGUGGGUUGCAGGUUCGAAUCCUGCCGGGCCCA